AUGGCUUACUAUUCAGAUCAUCAGGCUUAUGCGAGCAACACUACAAACAGCACAGAAAGUAUUCAAGAACUGAUAAGUAAGAUUUCCCAUCAAUUAGAUGAUUUAGCUCGGCAGCGAGGAGUAGUUUUUGAGGAUAGGCCUAGUUCUUAUUAUCCUUAUUCCGGAGGCAAUCCUUACGUUGCUCCUACAUGCCAUAUUUGUGGAUUUCAGGGCCAUUCGCCCGCUGAAUGUCAGCGUGGUUACUCUCACACUCCAGAUUGUUUUGGCAUGAGCUUCGCUCAAGAGCAUAGCUCAUACCAAAACAAUUAA
rnacentral:rRNA from 1 species